rnacentral:rRNA from 1 species
UAUUCCCCACUGCUGCCUCCCGUAGGAGUCUGGGCCGUAUCUCAGUCCCAAUGUGGCCGUUCAACCUCUCAGUCCGGCUACUGAUCGCAGCCUUGGUAGGCCGUUACCCCACCAACUAGCUAAUCAGAUAUGAGCCCAUCUUUCAGCGGAUUGCUCCUUUGGUAUCCCGGAGAUGCCUCCAAAAUACAUUAUGCGGUAUUAGCAGUCGUUUCCAACUGUUGUCCCCCUCUGAAAGGCAGGUUGCUCAUACAUUACUCACCCGUCCGCCACUAAGUUACAAAAGCAAGCUCUCGUAACUCCGUUCGACUUGCAUGUGUUAGGCACGCCGCCAGCGUUCAUCCUGAGCCAA